CCAUUGGGAAAAUUGAAAUGAAAACAAGAUACACUGUGGUAUGGUAUCUUACUGAGGACAGUAAGGAUACUGUGAGGCAGCUAGAACUCUUACACUCCGGAUGAUAAUGCAAACUACUGCAAACGUCUUAAACAGUUUGAUAGUUUCUUAAAAAGUUAAACACAUACCUGCCCUAUAGGAUCAUUAUAACCCAGUCGUUCCACUCUUAGAUAUUUACCCAAGGGGAGGAAAAAGUAUAUGCCCACACAAAAGACUUGUACAAUAAUGUACUUACAACUUUAUAUGUAAUAGUCAAAAACUGAAACAGGACUUCCAGAAUGACAGACUUGUGAACCUGUUCCUCGGCGAAAUAACCGUGAUGAUAAAAAUGAUAAAGGCCCCAAACCCUUAAUCAUGUAAGCUCACUGGAAACUUUCCUAAGGAUAUACAGCAAAUAUAUAAUUAUUUAUGCAAUGAGCAUUUGUGACACUUGAAUCAUGCCCUGUUUCCUCUUUCUCCACUCCCAGCUCAGCAUAAUAGAAAAUUCACUCCGGUCAGGUGCAGCCAAGAUGAUGUGGCUAAGCUUGCUCCAGAUCUUCAUCAGAAACUAUAGUGUCCCCCCGGGAGGAGAAGGCUGCAAGCAUUUCUCAUCCUUCCAAGUUCUGUCUUGUAUCUGGCAGAAGCUGAAUUCCGAACAAAUGCAACCAAGAAAUAGAGGGCUCCCUCCCCUCAUUCAGCCCUCACUCUCAGCACUGAGGCUCUACCAAGGAAGGCAGACUGAGAAUAAUGGGACCCGAUGUGUUAAUAAAUGUAGUCCUUUCCCAAGCUUGCUCAUGGGGCAGAGAUUCCAUGCUGGUAGAGGAAAGCUGAGAAACCAGAGGCUACCAUCACCCUACUUAUAAAGUAAAGGAGUCACCCCAUGAGAAUAGUCCACCGUUCUCUCCUACAGUUCUGGGAAAAUGACUCAGAGAUUUUGCCCAUGGGGAGAGGCAGGGUAUAAAACCAGAAGACUCCAAAGCCCUCUUAAGG
ensembl:lncRNA